UGGGGAAUAUUGGGCAAUGGGGGCAACCCUGACCCAGCGACGCCGCGUGAGGGAAGACGGCCUUCGGGUUGUAAACCUCUUUUGUACGGGAAGAAGGACGUGACGGUACCGUGCGAAUAAGUCCCGGCUAACUACGUGCCAGCAGCCGCGGUAAUACGUAGGGGACGAGCGUUGUCCGGAAUUACUGGGCGUAAAGGGCGCGCAGGCUGUAGAUCAAGUCAGCUGUGAAAUGUCUGGGCUUAACCCGGGCAUGCGGUUGAAACUGAUGUACUGGAGUGCUGUAGAGGCAAGUGGAAUUCCCAGUGUAGCGGUGAAAUGCGUAGAUAUUGGGAAGAACACCGGUGGCGAAGGCGACUUGCUGGGCAGCAACUGACGCUGAGGCGCGAAAGCCAGGGGAGCAAACGGG
rnacentral:rRNA from 1 species